GCCAUUUCAGACAAGCUGCAAAGACAAAGGACCUCUCGUCUUCCCUCUGCUCUCCUUUGGAGCCAGGAUCUCAAAGUCCCUUUCUAAGGAGGACCAGAAAUUCCUGGCUUUCACUCCAGCACCCACUACAUUACUGUUGCUGCUCUCAAGAGAAUGAAUUAAUUCUCCACAGCUGUGUUGUCUUGUAACUUGUUCCUCCAAGACAAACCACGCUUGUCCUUUCUCUAGCCCUGAGAGAGGGAGUGAAUGUUACGUCCUGCUGAUAAUCCGCAGAAGCGACCCAUUUCUGGCAAUACAGCUUUAUCAUUGACUUCUUCAGCACAGAGGUUGUAACCCUUAUAUCUGGGAUUUCUUCCAGUAUCUCUUCAGUGGAUGGGAAAGACAUGCAGAUUAUGAGACAGACAGCAUCAGUGGAGGGUAUAUAAAGACUUCAGCUCAUCUGACAAACGAACAAAACAUCUUAUUCUCAUAGAAACCACACAGGCAAUGCCUGUGCUGCUCUUGGUCUCAUUGAGCGAAGUACCCUGCAGACACAGGGUCUGAAUCCCUGCUUCUCCUUGCAGGCAUUGAGGCUUGAUGAUGGUACUUGCUCUGACUCUCUAAAGAAGAUAGCACUUCCCUUUUCAAUUGUUGACUCUAUUGGUAGCUGUGCUUCCAGAGAGGAGUAGAAAUUAUUUUGUUAAAAAGAGCAGCACACAGCUAAGAAUGUAUCAAGAGGCUGGUCAGGCAACUUCCUCUAAGGUAAUCGGAUCUCUUCCCCAGUCAGAGAGACCUAACACAUCAGUCUUCAUAUAUCAUCUUCAUGAGCUAAAUUGCCAGAGAAGUUUAUGAUCUAAGUUACGAAAAACUCUCUGUGAAAACAAAUCAUUUAUUUUUCCAGAUGCCUGGACUGGAGAAUGCAACAUGUGACAUUCAAGAGCCCUGCAACCUCUAACCCAAAACAAUAUGACUAAGAUUUACACUACCAGCGGGCCUCUUUCUUCUGGGGGAGAGGAGCCAAGAGGGAAUUUCCUACCUCUUCCUCUCAAGCAGGAUUAUCUUGUACUGGAAUUCCAGAACAGUGUGAAACAGAAGGAAGCAAAAGAAAUACAAAACUAACAUGGGAAAUAUGGGGAGAAAAA